rnacentral:rRNA from 1 species
UACGGAGGGUGCGAGCGUUAAUCGGAAUUACUGGGCGUAAAGGGUGCGUAGGUGGUUUAUUAAGUUAUCUGUGAAAUCCCCGGGCUCAACCUGGGCAGGUCAGAUAAGACUGGUAGACUAGAGUAUAGGAGAGGGUAGUGGAAUUUCCGGUGUAGCGGUGAAAUGCGUAGAGAUCGGAAGGAACACCAGUGGCGAAGGCGGCUACCUGGCCUAAUACUGACACUGAGGCACGAAAGCGUGGGGAGCAAACAGG